UUAAGCGACUAAGCGUACACGGUGGAUGCCCUGGCAGUCAGAGGCGAUGAAGGACGUGCUAAUCUGCGAAAAGCGUCGGUAAGGUGAUAUGAACCGUUAUAACCGGCGAUGUCCGAAUGGGGAAACCCAGUGCAAUUCGUUGCACUAUCGUUAACUGAAUACAUAGGUUAACGAGGCGAACCGGGGGAACUGAAACAUCUAAGUACCCCGAGGAAAAGAAAUCAACCGAGAUUCCCCCAGUAGCGGCGAGCGAACGGGGAGCAGCCCAGAGUCUGAAUCAGCUUGUGUGUUAGUGGAACGGUCUGGAAAGUCCGACGGUACAGGGUGAUAGUCCCGUACACCAAAAUGCACAGGUUGUGAACUCGAAGAGUAGGGCGGGACACGUGGUAUCCUGUCUGAAUAUGGGGGGACCAUCCUCCAAGGCUAAAUACUCCUGACUGACCGAUAGUGAACCAGUACCGUGAGGGAAAGGCGAAAAGAACCCCGGCGAGGGGAGUGAAAAAGAACCUGAAACCGUGUACGUACAAGCAGUGGGAGCACCUUCGGGUGUGACUGCGUACCUUUUGUAUAAUGGGUCAGCGACUUAUAUUCUGUAGCAAGGUUAACCGUAUAGGGGAGCCGCAGGGAAACCGAGUCUUAACUGGGCGUUAAGUUGCAGGGUAUAGACCCGAAACCCGGUGAUCUAGCCAUGGGCAGGUUGAAGGUUGGGUAACACUAACUGGAGGACCGAACCGACUAAUGUUGAAAAAUUAGCGGAUGACUUGUGGCUGGGGGUGAAAGGCCAAUCAAACCGGGAGAUAGCUGGUUCUCCCCGAAAGCUAUUUAGGUAGCGCCUCGUGAACUCAUCUUCGGGGGUAGAGCACUGUUUCGGCUAGGGGGUCAUCCCGACUUACCAACCCGAUGCAAACUACGAAUACCGAAGAAUGUUAUCACGGGAGACACACGGCGGGUGCUAACGUCCGUCGUGAAGAGGGAAACAACCCAGACCGCCAGCUAAGGUCCCAAAGUCAUGGUUAAGUGGGAAACGAUGUGGGAAGGCACAGACAGCCAGGAUGUUGGCUUAGAAGCAGCCAUCAUUUAAAGAAAGCGUAAUAGCUCACUGGUCGAGUCGGCCUGCGCGGAAGAUGUAACGGGGCUAAACCAUGCACCGAAGCUGCGGCAGCGACACUAUGUGUUGUUGGGUAGGGGAGCGUUCUGUAAGCCUGCGAAGGUGUGCUGUGAGGCAUGCUGGAGGUAUCAGAAGUGCGAAUGCUGACAUAAGUAACGAUAAAGCGGGUGAAAAGCCCGCUCGCCGGAAGACCAAGGGUUCCUGUCCAACGUUAAUCGGGGCAGGGUGAGUCGACCCCUAAGGCGAGGCCGAAAGGCGUAGUCGAUGGGAAACAGGUUAAUAUUCCUGUACUUGGUGUUACUGCGAAGGGGGGACGGAGAAGGCUAUGUUAGCCGGGCGACGGUUGUCCCGGUUUAAGCAUGUAGGCUGAUUGUCCAGGCAAAUCCGGAUAAUCAAGGCUGAGGUGUGAUGACGAGGCACUACGGUGCUGAAGUAACAAAUGCCCUGCUUCCAGGAAAAGCCUCUAAGCAUCAGGUAACAUUAAAUCGUACCCCAAACCGACACAGGUGGUCAGGUAGAGAAUACCAAGGCGCUUGAGAGAACUCGGGUGAAGGAACUAGGCAAAAUGGUGCCGUAACUUCGGGAGAAGGCACGCUGGUGUGUAGGUGAAGUCCCUGCGGAUGGAGCUGAGACCAGUCGAAGAUACCAGCUGGCUGCAACUGUUUAUUAAAAACACAGCACUGUGCAAACACGAAAGUGGACGUAUACGGUGUGACGCCUGCCCGGUGCCGGAAGGUUAAUUGAUGGGGUUAUCCGUAAGGAGAAGCUCUUGAUCGAAGCCCCGGUAAACGGCGGCCGUAACUAUAACGGUCCUAAGGUAGCGAAAUUCCUUGUCGGGUAAGUUCCGACCUGCACGAAUGGCGUAAUGAUGGCCAGGCUGUCUCCACCCGAGACUCAGUGAAAUUGAACUCGCUGUGAAGAUGCAGUGUACCCGCGGCAAGACGGAAAGACCCCGUGAACCUUUACUAUAGCUUGACACUGAACAUUGAGCCUUGAUGUGUAGGAUAGGUGGGAGGCUUUGAAGCGUGGACGCCAGUCUGCGUGGAGCCAACCUUGAAAUACCACCCUUUAAUGUUUGAUGUUCUAACGUUGGCCCCUGACCGGGGUUGCGGACAGUGUCUGGUGGGUAGUUUGACUGGGGCGGUCUCCUCCCAAAGCGUAACGGAGGAGCACGAAGGUUAGCUAAAAUCGCGGUACCGAAAAUAGCGGCGAUUUGGCUCUUCAUAAAGGUUGAGAUCAGCAGUCCCAGACCAGUGGCGAUGGUGACAUACAGCAGCGCCGCCAGGGUCAGCGUCAGGAAACUCCCCUUAUGCGCGACGCCAAAGACAAAGACCGACAGCGCGCACAGCAGGAAGAAGUUAAACAUCCCCAGUACGAUGUAAGGCAGCUGCUUGCCGAGCAGGAAUUCGCUGCGGGUGGUUGGCGUCACGUACAAGUUGAUAAUCGAUCCGAGCUCUUUCUCACGCACUACGCUCAGGGCGCUGAGCAUCGCUGGGAUCAUCAUCAGCAGCAGCGGGAUCACCGCCGGGACGAUGGCCGGCAGGCUCUUCACAUCUGGAUUGUAGCGAUAGCGGGUCUCGAUGGAGAUGAGCGAGGUAUCGCGCUGCGGGCUGCUCUGGCGGCCGGCCAUCUCCUGCAGCCAGGCCAGAUGCAUCGCCUG
rnacentral:rRNA from 1 species